AGGACACCAACCCGUCGAGAAAACUGGAAUGCAGAGGAGAAGAUGUGAUGCAGGAACAUCGGGCCUAAGCUGAGAACGGCCGGAUGUGGAUCCCUGUGUUCCGCAAGUGGCAGCAAUGUCAAGUCUCUCGAAGUAUUCCGCCCGUCUUCGCUUUCCGACCCCACCGAUCCUCCAGAGCAUCCUGUAAGGUGAUCAAGAACCACAUUCUCAAACUCUUCCGGAACAAGUUGGAAGAUAUACUCAGAAAGUUUAUCAUUUUAUCAAGAUGGAAUUUUUUUAAAUUAUAGAAUGAACUCCAACAUGUAAGGAACUUGAAAGUCAUCACACCAUCCUCACAAAAAAAGACUAAAUCAAAAAAUCAUUAACUUUUUUCAUAGAUCCAUCAGAGAACUGAGGUCACAGGGCAAAGGACCCAUCAAAAUUUGGAGAGACAGGCAAAUACAAAGAAAGAGCCAAGAUGAGAGUCGUUAAAACAGAAGCCACUAGAGCCAGGAACUGGUAGGGAAGCUUAAAGAAUAGUUUUGACAAAUGGUUGGAUAAUGAUUGUGGACAAAUUGAAGAAUUAAAACCUCCUGGGGAAUCAGAUAUAAGAGGUUCCUCACACUAUAUGGGAGUUAUAUCCAGGAACACCACUACAUGAGUGAUGAGUGGAGAAAAUUCCUUCCUGUCUUGAGUAGGGGAGAGAAAAUAAAACAUUUUGAAAAGAACAUUUUGAAGUGUUCCCAUAUUAUUCUUGAUUACAGUCUUCUCUCUGUUGAACCUCUGCCCUGCAUAGCCAACAGCAAAGUACAAACUGGUUUUAAAGUUUUAUCUCUAAGAUAGGUGAACAAGGUCAUUAUUUCACACUCUCAGAAAGAAGACAGGUUUCUGCCAAUCUUUGUUCUGAACUGAAUCCAAGACAGCACCUCAAGGAUGAUUUGUGGUUCCAGGCCACUCAGCAACAUGUUGUGGAUCAUAAAGAAAAAUCUGUACCUGUUUUGCCCAGUUCUGUAGUUCUUCUUCAAGCUCUUAGUACAAAAAUAUACUAUGUCUUGGUAGCACAAACUGACUAAUUCAUUCCUUGUGAAGGUCUGAAGAUGUGCAUAUGGCAGAAGACCUCCACCUUCUAUACACUGUAAAUUAAUAGUUAGCAAACUUGAUUAACUGUCAUUCUCCACAUGGUGUCAUGCAAUGAUUGUUGGUCUUUUCUUUAAAAGUGACUCUUACUCUAAUUCCUAAAAUAUGUCAAUGUGAACAUCACCUAGGGCCAGAAAUUCUAUGUGAUUAAUUAAUUGGUCUCAUGAUAACAGACCAUAGAUGUUCUGUCAACCACAACUGAGCCUAACAUAAACUAAUACAUGUACAUAAACACGAUUUUUAACUUCUAUCUGGAAAAAGUAAAAAUGAGAGAAGCUACUUAUAUCACAAAAAAAUGCUGUUUUAUGUAAUACAUGUCAAGCUAUCAGAAAUCACUGAGGAAAGGACAAAAAAAAACACUUUAAAAAAUUGGGAAAUGUUGUGGGCAGACCAUAGAAUAAGAAAUACAACUGGUUUUAAAACAUAUAAAAGGAUGCCCACACUCAAUUAAAAGGUAAAUUUAUAUUACUCUUAUACUUAAAAAACAGAUAAUUUCACAUUGCAAAAUGGAAAUGAGGCACAGUCACAGACUGUUUUCGGGGAUUUAGACUGACUUAGAUCACUUAACCUAGAGCACUUUUGAGAGUGAAACAGACACUAUUUAAAUCAAUAUUCAUAAUCUACAGUUCUGGGUAACUGCAGUCAUGCAAUUUAUGGAACUGUAACAUUUUCACCAUGCUAUAGUUGUGUGUCUGUCUUUCUAAAUGGACAGGAAACACAUUGGUGGAAAGUAUCAUAAAAUUUUUUCCAUGAAAGUAUCAGGUAAUUUUUUCCUAAAUGUUUAGUACUUUGCAUAGAAUAUGUGCUUAAAUAUUUUUAAAUGAAUUAAAAUGGCUUAAUUAAUUCACUAGUGCCUAAAGGGACUGAGGCAUGGAGCAUAUCAAACUCACCAACUAUACUAGGAGAAGCCAAUGAUGAGAAGUGCCUAGACAAGAGGUGGAGUAGAGAUUACGAUACACAAAAUUUUCUGUCUUUGAGGCACCUCACAAAUUGAGGGAGAGAAAAGAAAGUAAUUUUCUAAGGCUGAACUUCAGCUGUAGAUGUAUAGAAAAGAAAGGGCCAAUCUACAUAGUUCAAUAAGUUAAGUGUAGGUGUCUGGAAAUGUUCAAAACCUGAACAUCAAGUAGUUGAGACUCAUUCUCUCAAAUUUGGAAUAAAUUUGCAAUUUGGAAUAAACCAGCAUGGUAGGCAGAAUAAUGGCUUCCCCGACCAUGUCCAUAUUCCUAAUCCUUGGAAGUUUGAAUAUUUAUAUUACUUGGGAAAAGAGAAUUAAAGUUGAGGGUGGAAUUAAGGUUCCUAAUCAGUUUACCUAAAAUAGGGAGAUUAUCCUGGAAUACCUGGAUGGUUUCAAUAUAAUCACAAGGGUCCCUAAAAGAUGAAAGAGAAAGCCAGAAGACUCACUGUCCGAGUGGUUAAUAUGAGAAAGACUAGAGCAGCCACUGUUGGCUUUGAUGAUGGAAAGGAGUCACAAGCCAAUGAAGGCCCUUUCUAGGAACUGGAAAAGGCAAGAAAACAUUCUCCCUUAGAGCCUCCAAUGAGGAAUGCAGCCACGCCAACACUUUGAUUUUAGCCCAGUGAGACCCAUUUCAGACUUCUGACCUACAGAAAUCUAAAAUAAAAAAAGAAACAUGGUGCCUUUCCUCAGUCAAAGGUCUUAAUGCAAAAUGAGUACGAGCCUCUAGAUCUCCAGAGAGCAGUCUAAGGGCCCAGGUGGGUAGGGAGCUGGGUGCCAGCCACGAGAAACACAGAGAUUCUGUCCCACUUUGCAGCUGGACCUUGGUGUGUGUCUGGGAAGACCUGCUCUUACUCUGGUAAUGACACAUGUCCCUCGGGUCAUUGACAUGAAGUGUAAGGGAAGAACAGAUCAGCUGUAUGGAACAAAUAAUCAGGAAACUUGACCCCAUGCUCUCCUACACCAUUUCUGCUGCAGCUUUCAUCACAUCUCUGUCUGGAAUGAACCCUCUCCUGCUCUCUCUCCACUCCAUGUAGAACAGCUUUUAAUUUCUCAGCUGAGACCUUACCUAUCUCUUCCAUGUUGCUUUUUGGAAACCUCACAGGAAGGAUGGACAACCUGUUCUUUUUGGGUCCCCUCUAAAAGUGGUAGACUUCUCACAUAGCAUCAAUAACAAGCUGCUGCUCUUACAUGGUAAACACAAAUCUCAUUUUCUCAGUGAUGUGUGCAAGAGAUGUCAAGCUCUUUAUCUCCUGUCAAAAUUUCUCAUUUGAAAUAAAUCCAUUUCUGUUUUGUUAUGCACAGUUCCAGAAUUUCUACUUUUUAAACAAUUCUGUUAUGUGUAUGUCUUUGUAUUGCUAAAACUGUAUGUCUAAAACUGAUUCUGAUAUAAUCUGGAUUCCUAUGGAUCUAUUUUCAUUGUCUGUAUUUCCUUUGGAUUUUUAUCAUGUGGUGUUUAUCAUGUGGUGUUAGCUCCUUGUGUGUCUGGGAAUACUUUUAAUUUCUCUUUGAGUGUCUGACAUAGUACUUGAAAAGUUAGAAAAAAAAUGAGACUUCCUCUUCACUUUCAUUCUGAUAAAUUACUGAAUAGCCUUAAUCCUAUUAUAAGGAUUGAGAGUAAACUGAAUGUGAUUCUCAGUACUUUCAACAGUCAAUUUCAUUAUAGGUCAAAUUUAUUCAUACAGUUUAACCCCUCGGAGUUCCAAACCAAACACUGAGGGUGUCUAGCAGGACUGCACCUUCUUUACAAAAUACGGACUUUAAGUUUUGUCUUUCUA